UACGGAGGGGGCUAGCGUUGUUCGGAAUUACUGGGCGUAAAGCGCACGUAGGCGGCUUUGUAAGUUAGAGGUGAAAUCCCUGAGCUCAACUCAGGAACUGCACUCGAAACUGCUUAUCUUGAGUGCCGGAGAGGAAAGCGGAAUACCUGGUGUAGAGGUGAAAUUCGUAGAUAUCAGGUGGAACACCAGUGGCGAAGGCGGCUUUCUGGACGGUAACUGACGCUGAGACGCGAAAGCGUGGGGAGCAAACAGG
rnacentral:rRNA from 1 species